rnacentral:lncRNA from 1 species
GUUCGGGGAAGGAACAUAGCUUCUCCUAUGUCAAUCAGCAGAGGCAGACAGCAUUUGUGGCGAUGGAGGCAGUAAGAGGGGCAUUGUAAGAGCAGGGAACAAGGUCAGAAUAGCUUGGAGCCCAACGUCCACAUCUUACAUAUAGAGAAGCCAGACACAGGAAGCGAACACCCAAGCUGUACAGUGGACAGUAGAUGUGACCUCAUCUUUGCUCUGAACGCCUACAUGCCAAGUUCAAUGCCCUUUUUUGCCCAAGCCAGAGGGAUGAGGUGUGUGAAAAUCGCAGGAGACGGAUGUGCAGCCAUGUAUAGAAGCCCCAGAGUGGUUUAUUGCAG